rnacentral:rRNA from 1 species
GAUGAACGCUAGCGGGAGGCCUAACACAUGCAAGCCGAGCGGUAUUGUUUCUUCGGAAAUGAGAGAGCGGCGUACGGGUGCGUAACACGUGUGCAACCUGCCUUUAUCUGGGGGAUAGCCUUUCUAAAGGAAGAUUAAUACUCCAUAAUAUAUUGAACGGCAUCGUUUAAUAUUGAAAGCUCCGGCGGAUGGUGAUGGGCACGCUCAAGAUUAGCUAGUUGGUGAGGUAACGGCUCACCAAGGCGAUGAUCUUUAGGGGGCCUGAGAGGGUGAUCCCCCACACUGGUACUGAGACACGGACCAGACUCCUACGGGAGGCAGCAGUGAGGAAUAUUGGUCAAUGGGUGCAAGCCUGAACCAGCCAUCCCGCGUGAAGGACGACUGCCCUAUGGGUUGUAAACUUCUUUUGGAUAGGGAUAAACCUACCCUCGUGAGGGUAGCUGAAGGUACUAUACGAAUAAGCACCGGCUAACUACGUG